UACGGAGGGUGCAAGCGUUGUUCGGAAUCAUUGGGCGUAAAGCGCGCGUAGGCGGAUCAUCAAGUCGGGGGUGAAAUCCCGGGGCUCAACCCCGGAACGGCCUUCGAGACUGGUGGUCUUGAGUUCGAGAGAGGUGGGUGGAAUUCCGAGUGUAGAGGUGAAAUUCGUAGAUAUUCGGAGGAACACCAGUGGCGAAGGCGGCCCACUGGCUCGACACUGACGCUGAGGCGCGAAAGCGUGGGGAGCAAACAGG
rnacentral:rRNA from 1 species